AUUGAACGCUGGCGGCAGGCUUAACACAUGCAAGUCGAGUGGAGAUGAGGUGCUUGCACCUUAUCUUAGCGGCGGACGGGUGAGUAAUGCUUAGGAAUCUGCCUAUUAGUGGGGGACAACAUUCCGAAAGGAAUGCUAAUACCGCAUACGUCCUACGGGAGAAAGCAGGGGAUCUUCGGACCUUGCGCUAAUAGAUGAGCCUAAGUCGGAUUAGCUAGUUGGUGGGGGAAAGGCCUACCAAGGCGACGAUCUGUAGCGGGUCUGAGAGGAUGAUCCGCCACACUGGGACUGAGACACGGCCCAGACUCCUACGGGAGGCAGCAGUGGGGAAUAUUGGACAAUGGGGGGAACCCUGAUCCAGCCAUGCCGCGUGUGUGAAGAAGGCCUUAUGGUUGUAAAGCACUUUAAGCGAGGAGGAGGCUACUGAGACUAAUACUCUUGGAUAGUGGACGUUACUCGCAGAAUAAGCACCGGCUAACUCUGUGCCAGCCGCCGCAGUAACAC
rnacentral:rRNA from 1 species